ACGAACGCUGGCGGCGUGGAUAAGACAUGCAAGUCGAACGAGAGAAUUGCUAGCUUGCUAAUAAUUCUCUAGUGGCGCACGGGUGAGUAACACGUGAGUAACCUGCCCCCGAGAGCGGGAUAGCCCUGGGAAACUGGGAUUAAUACCGCAUAGUAUCGAAAGAUUAAAGCAGCAAUGCGCUUGGGGAUGGGCUCGCGGCCUAUUAGUUAGUUGGUGAGGUAACGGCUCACCAAGGCGAUGACGGGUAGCCGGUCUGAGAGGAUGUCCGGCCACACUGGAACUGAGACACGGUCCAGACACCUACGGGUGGCAGCAGUCGAGAAUCAUUCACAAUGGGGGAAACCCUGAUGGUGCGACGCCGCGUGGGGGAAUGAAGGUCUUCGGAUUGUAAACCCCUGUCAUGUGGGAGCAAAUUAAAAAGAUAGUACCACAAGAGGAAGAGACGGCUAACUCUGUGCCAGCAGCCGCGGUAAUACAGAGGUCUCAAGCGUUGUUCGGAAUCACUGGGCGUAAAGCGUGCGUAGGCUGUUUCGUAAGUCGUGUGUGAAAGGCGCGGGCUCAACCCGCGGACGGCACAUGAUACUGCGAGACUAGAGUAAUGGAGGGGGAACCGGAAUUCUCGGUGUAGCAGUGAAAUGCGUAGAUAUCGAGAGGAACACUCGUGGCGAAGGCGGGUUCCUGGACAUUAACUGACGCUGAGGCACGAAGGCCAGGGGAGCGAAAGGGAUUAGAUACCCCUGUAGUCCUGGCAGUAAACGGUGCACGCUUGGUGUGCGGGGAAUCGACCCCCUGCGUGCCGGAGCUAACGCGUUAAGCGUGCCGCCUGGGGAGUACGGUCGCAAGAUUAAAACUCAAAGAAAUUGACGGGGACCCGCACAAGCGGUGGAGUAUGUGGCUUAAUUCGAUGCAACGCGAAGAACCUUACCUGGGCUUGACAUGUAAUGAACAACAUGUGAAAGCAUGCGACUCUUCGGAGGCGUUACACAGGUGCUACAUGGCCGUCGUCAGCUCGUGUCGUGAGAUGUUUGGUUAAGUCCAGCAACGAGCGCAACCCCUGUUGCCAGUUACCAGCACGUGAAGGUGGGGACUCUGGCGAGACUGCCCAGAUCAACUGGGAGGAAGGUGGGGACGACGUCAGGUCAGUAUGGCCCUUAUGCCCAGGGCUGCACACGUACUACAAUGCCCAGUACAGAGGGGGCCGAAGCCGCGAGGCGGAGGAAAUCCUAAAAACUGGGCCCAGUUCGGACUGUAGGCUGCAACCCGCCUACACGAAGCCGGAAUCGCUAGUAAUGGCGCAUCAGCUACGGCGCCGUGAAUACGUUCCCGGGUCUUGUACACACCGCCCGUCACAUCAUGGAAGCCGGUCGCACCCGAAGUAUCUGAAGCCAACCGCAAGGAGGCAGGGUCCUAAGGUGAGACUGGUAACUGGGAUG
rnacentral:rRNA from 1 species